ensembl:snRNA U1 U1 spliceosomal RNA
AUACUUACCUGGCAGGGGAGAUACCAUGAUCACGAAGGUGGUUUUCCCAGGGUGAGGCUGAUCCAUUGCACUGCGGGUGUGCUGACCCCUGCGAUUUCACCAAAUGCGGGAAACUCAACUGCAUAAUUUGUGGUAGUGGGGGACUGCGUUCGCGCUCUCCCCUG